rnacentral:rRNA from 1 species
UACGUAGGGAGCAAGCGUUGUCCGGAUUCACUGGGUGUAAAGGGUGCGCAGGCGGACUGGCAAGUCAGGGGUGAAAUCUCACGGCUCAACCGUGAAACUGCCUUUGAUACUGCUAGUCUUGAGUUAGGGAGAGGUUGAUGGAAUUCUAGGUGUAGCGGUGAAAUGCGUAGAUAUCUAGAAGAACACCAGUGGCGAAGGCGGUCAACUGGCCCUAAACUGACGCUCAGGCACGAAAGCGUGGGGAUCAAACAGG